rnacentral:lncRNA from 1 species
UUGCUUCUAGAGUCUUUGAGGGUAAGGUGGUGGAGGUUUAUAUACUCGAGUUGGUACUGGUUGAUUUGUCUUUGGCAGUAAUUCUGCUGCUAACGAAGUGGUUGGCUAAUCAGAAUUGGCUGGUUUUGAGGUUAUCUUUUCAGGUCUUGCAGGUUCUGGUUCUAGUGGAACUGGAACUUCAACAUUCGGUUGAACUUCUUCUG